GCACUGAUUUGGCCUGGAAGGUUCAGGAUAAUCACCUGAGCUGUGAAGCCAGCUGCUUCCACCGGUGGGAUCGGUAGAGCAC